rnacentral:rRNA from 1 species
UGGCAGCUAUACAUGCAGUUGAGCGCUGAAGGUUGGUACUUGUACCGACUGGAUGAGCAGCGAACGGGUGAGUAACGCGUGGGGAAUCUGCCUUUGAGCGGGGGACAACAUUUGGAAACGAAUGCUAAUACCGCAUAAAAACUUUAAACACAAGUUUUAAGUUUGAAAGAUGCAAUUGCAUCACUCAAAGAUGAUCCCGCGUUGUAUUAGCUAGUUGGUGAGGUAAAGGCUCACCAAGGCGAUGAUACAUAGCCGACCUGAGAGGGUGAUCGGCCACAUUGGGACUGAGACACGGCCCAAACUCCUACGGGAGGCAGCAGUAGGGAAUCUUCGGCAAUGGACGAAAGUCUGACCGAGCAACGCCGCGUGAGUGAAGAAGGUUUUCGGAUCGUAAAACUCUGUUGGUAGAGAAGAACGUUGGUGAGAGUGGAAAGCUCAUCAAGUGACGGUAACUACCCAGAAAGGGACGGCUAACUACGUGCCAGCAGCCGCGGUAAUACGUAGGUCCCGAGCGUUGUCCGGAUUUAUUGGGCGUAAAGCGAGCGCAGGUGGUUUAUUAAGUCUGGUGUAAAAGGCAGUGGCUCAACCAUUGUAUGCAUUGGAAACUGGUAGACUUGAGUGCAGGAGAGGAGAGUGGAAUUCCAUGUGUAGCGGUGAAAUGCGUAGAUAUAUGGAGGAACACCGGUGGCGAAAGCGGCUCUCUGGCCUGUAACUGACACUGAGGCUCGAAAGCGUGGGGAGCAAACAGGAUUAGAUACCCUGGUAGUCCACGCCGUAAACGAUGAGUGCUAGAUGUAGGGAGCUAUAAGUUCUCUGUAUCGCAGCUAACGCAAUAAGCACUCCGCCUGGGGGAGUACGACCGCAAGGUGAUAGAAAAUAAGGGGGGGACCUUG